CACGUAGGGGGCGAGCGUUGUCCGGAAUUAUUGGGCGUAAAGGGCUCGUGAGGCGGUUUGUCGCGUCGGGAGUGAAAUACCGACUGGACCUUGAACUGGUCGGCUUGCUUUCGAUACGGGCAGACUGGAGGUAUGCAGGGGAGAACGGAAUUCCUGGUGUAGCGGUGAAAUGCGCAGAUAUCAGGAAGAACACCGAGUGGCGAAGGCAGUUCUCUGGGACGGUACUGACGCUGAGACGGCGAAAGCGUGGGGAGCGAACAGG
rnacentral:rRNA from 1 species